rnacentral:tRNA from 1 species
GCCGGGGUGGCGGAAUUGGCAGACGCAAGGGACUUAAAAUCCCUCGGGCUCUUGAGUCCAUACCGGUUCGAUUCCGGUCCUCGGCACCA